rnacentral:rRNA from 1 species
UACGUAGGGUGCGAGCGUUGUCCGGAAUUAUUGGGCGUAAAGAGCUCGUAGGCGGUCUGUCGCGUCUGCUGUGAAAUCCCGAGGCUCAACCUCGGGCUUGCAGUGGGUACGGGCAGGCUAGAGUCCGGAAGAGGAGAGUGGAAUUCCUGGUGUAGCGGUGAAAUGCGCAGAUAUCAGGAAGAACACCCGUGGCUAAGGCGGCUCUCUAGUACGGUACUGACGCUGAGACGCGAAAGCGUGGGGAGCGAACAGG